rnacentral:rRNA from 1 species
UGGGGCAUAUUGGACAAUGCGGGAAACCGUGAUCCAGCAAUGCCGCGUGAGUGAUGAAGGCCUUAGGGUUGUAAAGCUCUUUUACCAGGGAUGAUAAUGACAGUACCUGGAGAAUAAGCUCCGGCUAACUCCGAGCCAGCAGCCGCGGUAAUACGGAGGGAGCUAGCGUUGUUCGGAAUUACAGGGCGUAAAGCGGGCGUAGGCGGCUAUCCAAGUCAGGGGUGAAAACCCGGGGCACAACCCCGGAACUGCCCUUGAAACUAGGUAGCUAGAAUACUGGAGAGGUGAGUGGAAUUCCGAGUGUAGAGGCGAAAUUCGUAGAUAUUCGGAAGAACACCAGUGGCGAAGGCGACUCACUGGACAGUUAUUGACGCUGAGGUGCGAAAGCGUGGGGAGCAAACAGGAUUAGAUACCCCGGUAGUCC